rnacentral:rRNA from 1 species
ACGGAAGGCAGCAGUGAGGAAUAUUGGUCAAUGGACGGAAGUCUGAACCAGCCAAGUCGCGUGAAGGAUGAAGGUAUUAUGUAUUGUAAACUUCUUUAGCAGUGGAGUAAUAAGGGGAUCGUGAUCCCUGAUGCAAGUACACUGAGAAUAAGGAUCGGCUAACUCCGUGCCAGCAGCCGCGGUAAUACGGAGGAUCCGAGCGUUAUCCGGAUUUAUUGGGUUUAAAGGGUGCGCAGGCGGCUUUUUAAGUCAGUGGUUAAAUCGUGACGCUCAACGUCAUCACGCCAUUGAUACUGGAGAGCUUGAUUGCGGUCGAGGUUUGCGGAAUUCGUUGUGUAGCGGUGAAAUGCAUAGAUAUGACGAAGAACUCCGAUCGCGAAGGCAGGUGUCCGGGGUGUAACUGACGCUGAGGCUCGAAAGUGCGGGUAUCAAACAGGAUUAGAUACCCUGGUA